UCAAAUAUAACACAUACAUGCAUACCUUUAAUCCUCACUUCUCACCUUGUAUCAAUUUACUCAAUAAUUCUCUAACCACUUCAAAGGUAUAUCGAUUCUCUUCUCUCGUUAACAACGUACAUAUAUACAAGUCCAAACCUAACACACAUCGAGUCUUUAAUAGUAUUCAAUAUAGUACACUGACUGGUUUCACACAAACAACCAACAAAUUAGUUUUCG
rnacentral:lncRNA from 1 species